rnacentral:tRNA from 2 species
GCACGCUUAGCUCAGUUGGUAGAGCACUCGACUGAUACUCGAGCGGUCCUAGGUUCGAAUCCUAGAGCGUGCA